GUCGUGAGAUGUUGGGUUAGUCCCGUAACGAGCGCAACCCUGUCCUUAGUUACCAGCACGUUAUGGUGGGCACUCUAAGGAGACUGCCGGUGACAAACCGGAGGAAGGUGGGGAUGACGUCAAGUCAUCAUGGCCCUUACGGCCUGGGCUACACACGUGCUACAAUGGUCGGUACAAAGGGUUGCCAAGCCGCGAGGUGGAGCUAAUCCCAUAAAACCGAUCGUAGUCCGGAUCGCAGUCUGCAACUCGACUGCGUGAAGUCGGAAUCGCUAGUAAUCGUGAAUCAGAAUGUCACGGUGAAUACGUUCCCGGGCCUU
rnacentral:rRNA from 1 species